rnacentral:rRNA from 1 species
GAUGAACGCUGGCGGCGUGCCUAAUACAUGCAAGUCGAGCGAACGGACGAGAAGCUUGCUUCUCUGAUGUUAGCGGCGGACGGGUGAGUAACACGUGGAUAACCUACCUAUAAGACUGGGAUAACUUCGGGAAACCGGGGCUAAUACCGGAUAAUAUUUUGAACCGCAUGGUUCAAAAGUGAAAGACGGUCUUGCUGUCACUUAUAGAUGGAUCCGCGCUGCAUUAGCUAGUUGGUAAGGUAACGGCUUACCAAGGCAACGAUGCAUAGCCGACCUGAGAGGGUGAUCGGCCACACUGGAACUGAGACACGGUCCAGACUCCUACGGGAGGCAGCAGUAGGGAAUCUUCCGCAAUGGGCGAAAGCCUGACGGAGCAACGCCGCGUGAGUGAUGAAGGUCUUCGGAUUGUAAAACUCUGUUAUUAGGGAAGAACAUAUGUGUAAGUAACUGUGCACAUCUUGACGGUACCUAAUCAGAAAGCCACGGCUAACUACGUGCCAGCAGCCGCGGUAAUACGUAGGUGGCAAGCGUUAUCCGGAAUUAUUGGGCGUAAAGCGCGCGUAGGCGGUUUUUUAAGUCUGAUGUGAAAGCCCACGGCUCAACCGUGGAGGGUCAUUGGAAACUGGAAAACUUGAGUGCAGAAGAGGAAAGUGGAAUUCCAUGUGUAGCGGUGAAAUGCGCAGAGAUAUGGAGGAACACCAGUGGCGAAGGCGACUUUCUGGUCUGUAACUGACGCUGAUGUGCGAAAGCGUGGGGAUCAAACAGGAUUAGAUACCCUGGUAGUCCACGCCGUAAACGAUGAGUGCUAAGUGUUAGGGGGUUUCCGCCCCUUAGUGCUGCAGCUAACGCAUUAAGCACUCCGCCUGGGGAGUACGACCGCAAGGUUGAAACUCAAAGGAAUUGACGGGGACCCGCACAAGCGGUGGAGCAUGUGGUUUAAUUCGAAGCAACGCGAAGAACCUUACCAAAUCUUGACAUCCUUUGACAACUCUAGAGAUAGAGCUUUCCCCUUCGGGGGACAAAGUGACAGGUGGUGCAUGGUUGUCGUCAGCUCGUGUCGUGAGAUGUUGGGUUAAGUCCCGCAACGAGCGCAACCCUUAAGCUUAGUUGCCAUCAUUAAGUUGGGCACUCUAAGUUGACUGCCGGUGACAAACCGGAGGAAGGUGGGGAUGACGUCAAAUCAUCAUGCCCCUUAUGAUUUGGGCUACACACGUGCUACAAUGGACAAUACAAAGGGCAGCGAAACCGUGAGGUCAAGCAAAUCCCAUAAAGUUGUUCUCAGUUCGGAUUGUAGUCUGCAACUCGACUACAUGAAGCUGGAAUCGCUAGUAAUCGUAGAUCAGCAUGCUACGGUGAAUACGUUCCCGGGUCU